rnacentral:rRNA from 1 species
GAUGAACGCUGGCGGCGUGCCUAAUACAUGCAAGUCGAGCGAACAGACGAGGAGCUUGCUCCUCUGACGUUAGCGGCGGACGGGUGAGUAACACGUGGAUAACCUACCUAUAAGACUGGGAUAACUUCGGGAAACCGGAGCUAAUACCGGAUAAUAUAUUGAACCGUAUGGUUCAAUAGUGAAAGACGGUUUUGCUGUAUCUUAUAGAUGGAUCCGCGCCGCAUUAGCUAGUUGGUAAGGUAACGGCCUACCACGGCAACGAGGCGUAGCCGACCUGAGUGAGUGGUCGGCCACAUGGGAACGUAGACACCGUCCAGGCGCCUACGGGAGGCAGCAGUAGGGAAUCUUCCGCAAAGGGCGAAAGCCUGACGGAGCAACGCCGCGUGAGUGAUGAAGGUCUUCGGAUCGUAAAACUCUGUUAUUAGGGAAGAACAAAUGUGUAAGUAACUAUGCACGUCUUGACGGUACCUAAUCAGAAAGCCACGGCUAACUACGUG